GACGAACGCUGGCGGCGUGCCUAACACAUGCAAGUCAACUUGACUGAAGGAGCAAUCUGACAGUAGAGUGGCGCAAGGGUGCGUAACGCGUAAGUAACUUGCCCAAAGUAAGGAAUAACGUCGAGAAAUCGGCGCUAAUACCUCAUAAUGCAGCGGAUCCGCAUGGAUAUGUUGUUAAAGGUUUACCGCCUUGGGAUAGGCUUGCGUCUGAUUAGCUAGUUGGUGUGGUAACGGCACACCAAGGCUACGAUCAGUAACUGGUCUGAGAGGAUGAUCAGUCACACUGGAACUGAGACACGGUCCAGACUCCUACGGGAGGCAGCAGUGAGGAAUAUUGGGCAAUGCUCGAAAGAGUGACCCAGCAACGCCGCGUGGAGGAUGAAGGUAUUCUAUAUCGUAAACUCCUGUGAGAGCAGACGAAAGACAGAUUAUUAAUCUGGAUGACUGUAUGCUCAGAGGAAGCCCCGGCUAACUACGUG
rnacentral:rRNA from 1 species